UACGUAGGGCGCAAGCGUUGUCCGGAAUUAUUGGGCGUAAAGAGCUCGUAGGCGGUUUGUCGCGUCUGGUGUGAAAACUCAAGGCUCAACCUUGAGCUUGCAUCGGGUACGGGCAGACUAGAGUGUGGUAGGGGAGACUGGAAUUCCUGGUGUAGCGGUGGAAUGCGCAGAUAUCAGGAGGAACACCGAUGGCGAAGGCAGGUCUCUGGGCCACUACUGACGCUGAGGAGCGAAAGCAUGGGUAGCGAACAGGAUUAGA
rnacentral:rRNA from 1 species